UACGAAGGUCCCAAGCGUUAUCCGGAUUUAUUGGGUUUAAAGGGUGCGUAGGCGGACUGUUAAGUCAGUGGUGAAAGCUCCAUGCCUAACAUGGAAAAUGCCAUUGAUACUGACGGUCUUGAGUACAUUUUGAAGUGGGCGGAAUGUGUCAUGUAGCGGUGAAAUGCUUAGAUAUGACACAGAACACCGAUUGCGUAGGCAGCUCACUAAACUGUAACUGACGCUGAGGCACGAAAGCGUGGGGAGCAAACAGG
rnacentral:rRNA from 1 species